CGCCCUGAAGGCGCCCGAUCUCUUCCGAUCUGGGAAGCUAAGCAGGGUCG
ensembl:rRNA 5S_rRNA 5S ribosomal RNA